UACAGAGGGUGCGAGCGUUAAUCGGAAUGACUGGGCGUAAAGGGCGCGUAGGUGGAUAUGUGUGUUGGAUGUGAAAGCCCCGGGCUUAACCUGGGAAUGGCAUACAAAACUGCAUAUCUAGAGUGGAGCAGAGGUGAGUGGAAUUUCCGGAGUAGCGGUGAAAUGCGUAGAUACCGGAAGGAACACCAGUGGCGAAGGCGACUCACUGGGCUUUUACUGACACUGAGGCGCGAAAGCGUGGGGAGCAAACAGG
rnacentral:rRNA from 1 species